rnacentral:lncRNA from 1 species
CCUGUCACUUUGUGGCUGCACGAUGCCCCGGUAUGUGAGAGUUUAUGUUUAUACCUCAGCUUUACUGUCUUUCCUGGAGAGCUGAAUUUUCUCUUGGUGAAAGCAGCAAAGCUCCAUGGCAAUGUAACAGGCUGUGCUGAUUUACUUCAGAGGCAUCUGCGCAGAGCCUGUCCUUGGUCCUCAGCAAUAACACAGGAUCCCACACAGUGAAGCUGAGUCGAGAGACGAUAGUUCACUACACAAGACCAAUCCGUCUGGGCUUGCUUCACAUGGAUGACAAGGGAAAGGCCUUUCUUUGUUUGUCCCUUGCCUUCCUGUACAACAAGACUGCCAGAAAUCGCAGCAGAGCAAUACAUUGCAGGAUAACAAGGAACUUGCAGCGGGUCUCUGGAAGGAGGAAGAAACCCCUGAUGUUUCCGUGUCCCCGAUGCUCUGCUAAGCAUCCGUCUUUGCAACACAAUCAGUGCUCCACAGCUGCUCUGGCAUUAGUUUGCAUCAGAGGUGCUCGAUCCGACCCUGACCAGGAAAUCUGUGCACACAGGAGGGGCUGGGACCCAGUGCAAACAUCAGAGCUCCUCUGGACGUGAAAUCACCUUCCCAAAGUGGGGACAAGAGGCAUUCCCCCUCUGCUCUGCGCUCAGCAAAUAGAAAUGCUCUUCUCUCUUCUUUCCUUUCUCCUUGGCCCUGCAAGAUUGGGGUUUGCCCCACUGGUUGCAGGAGGGGCAUCAUUUUGUUCAGGGAGCAGCCAGUGGAGGCAAUCAGUGAGGCUCUUCUGGACUCGGGCAGCACCUUCCUCUCAGUGGGGACAGCCGUGACAUGCCCAGGAGCUAGCAGAGCCUGGACAUCAAAGGCAAGGUUCAGCAAGGUCAGAAGAGAUGUCCACAGCCACUGCUUAGCUGCCUGCUUUCUCUGGAGUGAUACAAGGGCAACAUCUCCUUCCACAGUUCCAUAAAGAAAGCUCAGAAUAAAGCCAGGGUAACCCAAAAGGUAGCGGACA